AGUGAACGCUGGCGGUAGGCCUAACACAUGCAAGUCGAACGGCAGCACAGUAAGAGCUUGCUCUUACGGGUGGCGAGUGGCGGACGGGUGAGGAAUACAUCGGAAUCUACUUUUUCGUGGGGGAUAACGUAGGGAAACUUACGCUAAUACCGCAUACGACCUACGGGUGAAAGCAGGGGAUCUUCGGACCUUGCGCGAUUGAAUGAGCCGAUGUCGGAUUAGCUAGUUGGCGGGGUAAAGGCCCACCAAGGCGACGAUCCGUAGCUGGUCUGAGAGGAUGAUCAGCCACACUGGAACGGAGACACGGUCCAGACUCCUACGGGAGGCAGCAGAGGGGAAUAUUGGACAAUGGGCGCAAGCCUGAUCCAGCCAGACCGAGUGGGUGAAGAAGGCCUUCGGGUUGUAAAGCCCCUUUGUUGGGAAAGAAAAGCAGCAGGUUAAUACCCCGCUGUUCUGACGGUACCCAAAGAAUAAGCACCGGCUAACUUCGUG
rnacentral:rRNA from 1 species